GCUGGAAUGGCCGAGUCGUUAAGGCGAGUGAUUUGAAUUCAUUAACCCCCUGUUUCCCUAUCACUUGGUGUUUCACCGCGUAGGUUCAAAUCCUGCUUCCAGCG